rnacentral:rRNA from 1 species
GAAUUAAGGGGUUUCCGUAGGUGACCUGCGGAAGGAUAUUA